GGCCUUGUGGCCUAAUGGAUAAGGCGUCGGACUUCGGAUUCGAAGAUUGCAGGUUCGAGUCCUGCCAGGGUCG
rnacentral:tRNA from 1 species